rnacentral:rRNA from 1 species
GAUGAACGCUAGCGGCAGGCUUAACACAUGCAAGUCGAGGGGCAACACGUCUUCGGAUGGUGGCGACCGGCGCACGGGUGAGUAACGCGUAUGCAAUCUACCUUUUACAGGGGCAUAGCCCGGGGAAACCCGGAUUAAUAUCCUAUAGUACCAUUAUAUAGCAUUAUAUUAUGGUUAAAGUUUCGGCGGUAAAAGAUGAGCAUGCGUCCUAUUAGCUUGAUGGUAAGGUAACGGCUUACCAUGGCUAUGAUAGGUAGGGGUCCUGAGAGGGAGACCCCCCACACUGGUACUGAGACACGGACCAGACUCCUACGGGAGGCAGCAGUGAGGAAUAUUGGACAAUGGGCGAGAACCUGAUCCAGCCAUGCCGCGUGCAGGAAGACGGCCCUAUGGGUUGUAAACUGCUUUUAUACGGGAAGAAACACCCCUUCGUGAAGGGACUUGACGGUACCGUAUGAAUAAGGAUCGGCUAACUCCGUGCCAGCAGCCGCGGUAAUACGGAGGAUCC